rnacentral:lncRNA from 1 species
UCGAGGGCGGCCAGAGCCGACGCUGAGGAGGGGCAGAGAGCGAGCGAUGGCUGCUAGCACGUUGUCACCUCUCACUCUCACCUCAGCUUCCCAAAGUGCUGGUAUUACAUGCAUGAGCCACUGUACCCGGCCAUCUUCUACUAGUUUUAUAGUAUAAGAUUUUGUGUUUAAGUCUUUAAUCCAGAUGAUCAUGCCACUGUACUAUGGCCUGGGCGACACAGCAAUGUUUUUAAAAUAAAUAAACAAAAUGAAGAGGACCCUCUGAAGGAAGCAGAUUGCUCCCACAGGAUAUGGGAGACACCCCAAAUACUCAGCUGCAGCAAGACCCACCCAAGGAGAGAGUCUGAGCUCAAAGACACCUAGCCCUGCUCCCAC